AAUGAGCAACUGGCACAGGGAGGGCGGGUAGCGGGCAGAGGUGGAGAGAAGCUGCGUGCUGAAGGGAUCUGGGAGGAGAGUCCAGCACCUGCCAAGGCUUGGCCUGCUCCAUAUUAGGAAUUCUUUGUGCUUAAGUGGCGUCAGGCAGCCAUUGUUCACUGGAAUAGAAAACAUCCAAUAUAGUAACGAGCACAGAAGGCACCAUCACUGUUUUCAAACAAAAUAAAGGUGAAAAUGCCAGAGGACGUAGCCAUUAAGCAGACUCUUCUGGGGCAGGUCGGAAUGAGGUGAGUAUCAUGCAUCAUCAUGCAUUACUGGAUGAUUCCUUCAUGAAUAUCUCACGGGCCGUUUCUCUCCUCACUUCUCUAAAACAAGGAGGAACAUCAUUCUUUGAAAGUGAAAAGUUGUCCCAUUUUUGCCUGCUAUACGAUUUCAACUGCUCAACAGUUCAGGGUCUCCUUUGUCACAUUCUUCGCUUUAAUUUGACAUUUGCAGCAUCCCACAGUCAAUCAGCUGCUGCCAAGGAGAGUCUUAUUGGGAGGAACUAAUUUUGGGGUGCAGAGGGUGGUCACCAUUGUCACCAUUUGUACACUGGAAAUGUAGGACAUAUUCAGCUGUCUAAGGCAUGUCCUGCUGAAGGCCAUGUUAUGAUCAGAUAUGUCGUAAAGCAUUAUGUUAGCAUAUGAUUAAUAAACAAGCUACUGCAUUAUAUUACUGCCCUUUACCCCAAAUAUGUUUAGCCAGACGGAUUCAGGGAAAAAAAUACCACGAAACAUGACAAGUGGAAAAUCCCACACAUGCUUGAAAGAAUAAUGCUCAGGAGGGCUUUGUCUGUCUGUAAAUGCUGCCCAUAGGUUUGCUCCGCUGUGUCCUUGAGGACAAAGAUAACCCUGUGAAAUUCCUGUGGGGGGGGGGGGCUUGGCUUGCUGGAGGAGGACGACGCGCUGUGACAGACCACCCAUCAUCGUCAUCUGUGUGUGGCCAGCUGCACCGGCAGGUGACCCCACCAGCCCAAAGGUUUCAUGCUACAUAAAUAAAACCCCAGUGACAGAUAUUUAGCCGGUCACCGCGGCAUCGCACAAUGGACGCGAGAGGCGGGGGUCACAAUCCAGGGCUACUAACUCAAAUGGCUGUAGACAGCUUGAAGCAUCCUUGCCACACAAGAAAGGCGGCUGAAUGACCUGUUUAACAAUCCAUCUUUUGGUCAACGGUGUGUUCUUAAGGGUGUUGAUGUCUGGACCAUUGUAUACAAAAUCUAGAGAAGUAUUCAACAGGGAUGUUAAGGUACACCAAUAAUGCACCCCAGAAUGUAUGAAGGUAUAUUUGCAGAUCUUCCAGUAAAAACAUACCACUGAAAUUAUAAUGCAUUUAAUUAAAAUACAACAGUUUAAUGAUCCUAUGUGAGAAGGAUUAAUAUUCCUCAAAUAAUAUUUCUAGAAUUUUUUUAUUGUAUACAAUGCUGUAUAUCACUCAUAAAAAGUAUACAGUAUUUUUUACUGAAGGGUGUGUGUAUUUUCCUCUGCUGCAAUGAGAAAAUAAAUGUUAGAACAAUUUACACUAAAUGUACUUGCUUCACUUGAAAUCCCCCAUCAAGCUAUUUGGACAUAUCUUUUAAAGCUUAUGUGUUUUGUAUAUGUUAAAUAUUAUAAAAAGUAAUUAAUUGUAGCUAUACAAUUAAAAGUUACACAAUUAAAAAUUGUAUAUUAUCUUCUUCUUUUAUAUUAUCUUCUACUAUAAUGCCUGUUUUGCAUGCAAAUUUCUUCCAACAUUACUAAUAUAUUAGGUAACAAAAAGUUUUUGUUUUGCAUUUUCUUAACUUAAUAAAAAAAAACACAUUUAAAUUCCUGUUUCAGUAAAGCCAAGCACUGACUGCAAAAGGAAAAGUUUGAUUGCUGAAGACAGCCACCUUCCAACUUAAGGCCAGCAAAUUUUUAUCAAGAUAAAGUGCCAUAUUUAUCUAUUUAUUAUCGAUAACAUUGUGCUGUCAUUUUUUCAAGUUCCAGUCUUUUUGUGUUAUGAAGUUUUUGAGUGUUUUGCCUCAAUCCUAUUUUUCCCAUAAUCUCUGGUUUCUACAAGCUUUUUGCCGUAUACGGCUAUCACGUAAUAGGAGAACAUACUGUAUUUUGCAUGUGUGUAUAUACACAUACACACACUGGAUUGUGACACCCUGUAAACACAGCAGCCGUUGAAGCUGCUGUCUUACGGAUUUAAGUGUGAAAACGCAGCCGGAUUCCUCACAGCGACGGAGCAGCGACAAAACACCGCACGUCAAGUGUCUGUGGUGAGCGCUGACGGGGUCGCCACUGCUGAGUGGCUCUAGCACCAUGGUGACAAAUGUUUUGCACGGCUGAGAGAUGCCGAGAUGUUGUUAAAGGGCUGCUUCAGAUGAUGACGAGUGACGGCAAAGACGGGACACGAACCUGCCGGAUUCUCCUGUGAGGAUGGCAUUUAGCCAGUUGGUUCUCUCAUAACUGCUUCCCGAACGCUGUGAGCGAAGUGUUCAGCGGCCACGUGGCCGCAGUUGCAGGUCAUGGCCUGCGAGCUGCGCUUUGCGCUCCAUGCAAUUCACUAAUUCUUUUAUUAGCCCAGUCUGACACACACCAUGCUGUGCCUCUUUCACACGGUUACGUAGCCCAUUCCCAGCUGCUCUGACCCCGUACUGAUCAAACAGCCAGAGACCUCCCCCCCCAACACGGCCCUCAUCUGUAACCUGAGUUCCCUGUUGUUUUAAUCCAAAUCUCUUUUUUUUAUCACAUGUCCAAAUGCACUCCCCCCCAUUCUUUGGUAUUGAAUGUCUCUCUCUUCUGUUAGACAUAUAGAGCCUCUGUUCAUAUUUAUAGAACCAAAAAGGCUUUAUUUAGGAAAAUGUCAUUUCAGCACCGAUUAUUCAGAACCUUUUGUUGUGACAUUUACAAAAUGAAGUCACAUGCACAGCCACCGUGUUGGCAUUGUAUCGGGCAGUGAGAGGUCUGUGCAGCUAGCAGAGAAAUGAUCUGUUCCUACUUUCACUCUUUAGAAGCCUAUGUAUGGUUUUAGGUUGACAUUAUAUCGGCCGCUGAGGAAUCUGGCCACAUGCAAUUAAAAGAAGUGAUAUAAUAUAUCCCUGUUUACAAUUCCUCCACAUAGUUUACCCAUUGACUGCUUUCACAGAGAUAACCAUGAUCAAUUAGGGCAGAGGAGGAAGAUGGCAAAAGCAACCCAUCGACAUGACAAAACUCUCACCCCGAGGGAAGUCAAACUGAAUUUAGAAGCCUCUCUCCUCCCAGGGGCUUCUGCUGGUACCCGCAGGGACUGUCCCAUCCCAAGGGUUCAAGGUGACUGGCUCUGAUGUUUGGGACCCAGCCCUGAAGCACUACUGACAAAGCAGCGCUGAGGGGACUCACUGAUACCAAGCAGGUACAGUCCUGUCUGUAGUUCAUCGGACACUACAGGAGAGACCCAACAGCACCAAGGAUCUGGAGACAAACUACUUGGAGCCCAAUCGUAAAUGCAUCAAUCAGUAACAGAACAGGGCUGAAGAAGAAGAAGGUGCACCAUCAUCUAAGGAGGCUGGUUCCGGGGCAAUUAUACCAGGAAGCGGAGCUGCGAUCGCCUCUCCCACUCUGCCUCCGGGAACAGGGUCUCUAAUCCUCUCCAAAGCCCCCCAACCCACCGCUGCCCCCAAACAGGCAAUACUGCUGAAAGACGACGAACCACAUGCCCCCCAGCCCCAAAAAGCACCAUGUGGGAUAACUUCCAGGAAUGAGGAAUAUCUCCGCAGAGGCCUCCCACAUUCCCGACCUCCAUAGCCGCACUACAGGGAUGGUGCGUGUUCCCCAUACCCAG